GUACAAACCUUUCCAGUUAAGACACAAUUGACAUCCCAGAAAAGACAGACCCAGGAAAAUAUAUAACUGGGAGAAAAUCUCCAGGAGACAAUUAAUGGUCCCUAAAACACAAAGUGAGAAAAACAGGAUAAGGAUUCAACUAUGGGGAAAUGUACAACUGCUCUUUCCUGAGCCUAAGAUCCAUGGAAACCUGAUAUAAAUGAACAUCAAGCCCGGAUGAAAAGCUGGGGAUAGUCACUCCCACAUGUUCCUCUCCAGACUGCAUCUCCCGAGUCCAUUGCAGAUAUGGAAUAAGGCUAAAGGAAGAGCCAAUGAGAUUUCUCUUUAAUGCUGAAGACUUGAGGGCAGCAUUCAAAACCUGAUUGUGCUGGACCUUCGGGAGGCCAUGGGGAGCAGGGUCUAGUGGUGCCUCCUUGGACGAGACGGUCACAAACUGCAGGUCUUCUUGCUUCAGUUCCAGAAAUAAUAAAAAUGAAAUCUAAGAAGCCCACGGGAAUCAAAUAUGGCUAAAGAGGCCAACUAUCCAGAGACCCAAGAAAGCCUCCUAGUUAGGACCAGCAUCUAUGGGAUAAACAAAAUAAUGAUGAGUGAGAAACAACCCAUUUCUGCUCCAAGGCACAGGACAAACUGGGCGCACAAUAAGAAGACAAGCCAGCCCAUCAGGACACAAAGAGAAUUCUACCAGGCACCAGCAGAUGGGACCCAGCUGGAACUCGCAUUCUAUCAGCUGUUCUCGUCUGACUGUGACGUUCUCCACUCUAACUACGAAGAACGUCUCAAGCUCUCAAUUUUGUAUCCAAGUUCAACAUCGAACUGUGUUUUUUUUUUCUCUUACAAGGCCCAUAUAUGGUAUGUUUUCCUUUUUGGCUCCUGUAAGCCAGAUUCUCUCUUUGUACCCAUGUCUGCAGGGGCCGGCUUCCUUCCUGUCACCCACUGCCUCCCUAUCCAGUGCUUAAAGGCAACUCCUCCUAGUUUCCGGUUUCUUUAUGCUUGGAGACAUCCUCUCAUACAGUUCAGAACAUAGAGAAAUGGCUGAACCCUCUUGCAUUUCCUCAUAAGCACCUUGUCAGAUUGACUCAGGAAGAACACGAGGAAUCAGCCAUUGCAGAGCACUGAGAGCCCUGACUGAUUCAAGGCGAGU
rnacentral:lncRNA from 1 species